CAGCAGCCGCGGUAAUACGUAGGAGGCAAGCGUUAUCCGGAGUUACUGGGCGUAAAGCGCGCGCAGGCGGUUAGGCAAGUUGGGUGUGAAAGCUCCCGGCUAAACCGGGAGAGUGCAUUCAAGACUGCCUGGCUAGAGGACGGUAGAGGGGCGCAGAAUUCGGGGUGUAGCGGUGAAAUGUGUAGAGAUCCCGAGGAAUACCAGUGGGGAAGCCGGCGCCCUGGGCCGAACCUGACGCUGAGGCGCGACAGCGUGGGGAGCGAACGGGAUUAGAGACCCCGGUAGUCCACGCCGUAAACGAUGCAGACUGGGUGUUCACUUGCCUGCGGGCGAGGGAGUGCCGAAGCAAACGCGCUAAGUCUGCCGCCUGGGGAGUACGGUCGCAAGGCUAAAACUCAA
rnacentral:rRNA from 1 species